ensembl:lncRNA
CUCUGGCAGAGUGGUUUUAAUUCCUUGUGAGCGGAGUUACAAGUUGUUCCACUGUGGCUAGUAAAUGAUAAGCGACGGGGGCCAGGGUCAUAUUUCAACAUGCGCUGCAGCCAAUGAAAGGCUCAGGCGGAGCUCCCCGUCCCAAGUGGAGAACACCUGUAUUAACCUGCAGUCAGUCGCAGGCCGUCCCCAUAGUAUCAGCAACUCUGAAGUGCACUCAACUUUACUGGAUCAGCCCUGACACACAAAACGAUUUGAAGAUGAUGCUUUUGUUGCUCCUAUGCCUGCUACUGCCAUCUUCUACGGCUUUAUCAAAGGAGGUUGAAGGAUCUGCUGAUGAGCCCGAUGAUGAGGACCUUAUCCGUGCCGUGGAUGUGCAACCCACAAAUGAAUACCAGGAUCCUGACAUGGGCAAAACUACAGGGGAAGAAGAAUCAGACCAGUUUGUGGGGAUUGUCGUUGGUGUGGCUGUGGCCAUGGUGGCUCUGUCUGUCGCUGUGAUAAUUGCAAUACUGUUGGUCCGACGCAACAUGCAAAGGCGUCAGCAAGGCGUGUACUCGGUGCCCGCAGACCAGGACCAGAAGGUCUCUGUGUAGCUCCUGGGUUCCAGCCCCCCAGGACCCAGUAGAACACCGAAAGGAGGACCAAUGCACUGACCACAUAUUUCACUCACAGGGUUAAGGGUUUAACCCCGGACAGGUUUAGGUUAAGGCGCCAUCUUGCAUAUCCCUGUAUACUUGUAUUUCUCGCUGCUGAUCUGUGCCACGCUCAUAUUAAUAAUUAGAAAGUGAUGUUUGCCUUUCUGUCAUGCUUCAAUCCUGCAUUUUUGCAUUAUAAUAUGAACACACCAUUUCACUUGGGAACAUUUGGAACACAUUAAGCCUUUUAAUAAGAUUCUAUUUAAAGAUGAAACGCGGGAGCCUUUAAAUGUUUCUUUAAAUGGAACGGCUUCUGUUGUGAGCGGGAUUUCUCCCAUUCCUCUCCGGCUAAGGUGCGUGGUGGAAACAUUGAUGUGGGGGAUCUGUUGGGACAGACCUGCCACGAGCGGAACAGGCUUAUUUCAAAGACAAACCGUGCUAAUCCACAGCAGAGUGGCUCAGUUCUCACUUCGGUUUCCUCUUCAUUUGCCUGACAUCCCCUGUUCUUCACCCAGUAGGAGUGGCAGGAGGGGAUGGGAGAUAAAGCUGGCUUUCCCCACAACUCAGGCCAGGCUCAACUAGUGUGUGUGUGUGUGUGUGUGUGUGUGUGUGUGUGUGUGUGUGUGUGUGUGUGUGUGUGUGUGUGUGUGUGUGUGUGUGUGUGUGUGUGUGUGUGUGUGUGCGUCUGUGUGUGUGUGUGUGUGUGUGCAGUGCUAGUUAGAACAUCCUGUUGCGAGGCAGUGAAUUAAUCGACCGCCAUGAAUGAUGACGUUUUUUUUCCCCCCACUUCCUCCAGAAGACAAUCUCUCCAACGUCCUCAGCCUGGAAGAUUGUAAAUAAAAUAAAUAGCUCUAUGAUGGCUGGGGGUUGGGAAGAUGGGGUUUUAUAACCGGGACAGAGAGACAAGAUGGGGGUUGGGGAGAGAUUUUUAUACCCGUGACAGAAAGACAAGGGGGAGGGGCGGGGCAGAAUUUUCAAACAGCUUGUAAUAGACCUCUGAAGAAUAAGUCCCGGCUCCGAACCUCCCGGAUCCCUCAGUCAAAUGUCCAUGGGAAAUAACAUGUGGUUGUAGAAUGAUCGUACAUAACAAACUCUGUACUCAGCCUUGGGGGCGGGACUUAUUCUUCAGAGGUCUAUGGCUGAUCACAUUCAAACCUGUUGGCCUGAUAUCACCCCUUUAAGGUGCGCUUCUGGGGUCUCCGACCUGGUCUCACCCUUUGGAUGUGGUAUAUUGUUACGCCUACGAUCGGUUAAAAAUUGUAUGUAUAGGCAUUGUAUCUCAUGGAAAAAAUAAGACUGUAUAUAUAUAUAUAUAUAUAUAUAUAUAUAUAUAUAUAUAUAUAUACAAAUAUAUAUGUAAAAAAGGUUUCUCUUUUUAUGAUGUCAUUCAGGCAUGCGCUCUCUGCGUGCUUACUAUGCAAGCUCUAUCUAAUACUACUAAACCAUCUAACCAUAUAAGAUAGUAUAGUUGUUUUACAUCAUUGCUAUACUAUGUCAUUCUACUAAACUAUCUAACAAUAUGGGAUAGUGCAGUAGUUUUACAUAGCUGCUAUACUAUCUAAUACUAUUAUGCUAUAGUUACUUUACAUUUUGUUAUUACCUGUGCUACCAAUACUCUUAAGCAAAGGGAAACAGCUGUUGCUCCUCGCUCUGUGUUCGCUCCACCUGGUGGUAAAGCAAUACCCUCAUUUCAAAUGUUCUUGAUCAUAUCAGCAAUAAAAUGUCUGUUUGCCAUUUUCAUGCUUUUUUAAAAAUAAAUAUAUAAUGACAAAAACGGGCUCCUAAUAAAAACAAACCACUUGUAUUUCAGUCUAAAGUGGCUUGCUGUUUUCUUGUUACGCCAGCCAAGACAUGCAGCAUUACACAUACAGGUAAUCUCUUAAGUAUUACUGUAUUGGUCGUUACUGUGACAAACACGUGUCAUUACUAUGACUAAUAGAGACGUUGGAAUACAGACACACACCUUCCCAGAACCGAAAACAGAACUGAUAAUUUUAUUUUAUUUACAUCCUGACGUCGGCUGAUGAUUUCAAUGUAAUCAAAAACUGAAGUUAUCUUGAAUAAUAAAAAUUAUGAUUCGCCACUAUCGGGCUGUUUACAACAUCAAACAAAAUGUGGAUAGCAUUGUUUCUGUUGGCUCAAAGCUAACCAAAUAUUGAAAAGUUGAACAAAAUAGUCAAGUCAAAAAAGAUGGCUGAUACUACAAGAACCGUCACGUGUCCCAUCGCGUCUCAAGUAGAUUCCCCUUAACGGGUACCUAGAAGCAACGUGCAUGGGUCCUUACAAGUAUCAAAAGCAAUAUAUGUGGGUCUUAUUAAGGUUUGGUUAUCUCUGUUAACCUAACUAAAGGCACACGUGUUUGUUUAGUUAGGUUUAGUAAGCUGGGUUAAAAAAACAAAGACACACAUGUUUCAUUUUGGUUUAGUCAGCGGGUUAACUCAAGACGCAUACACUUGUGUCUAUAGUUAGGUCUAAGUUAGGUUCAGUUAUGUGCUUUAGUGAUAUUUAGUUAGCUAGGUAAACUAAAGACACGUAUGCUUGUGGCUAUAGGGAGGUUCAAAAAGCAGGUUAACUGAACUAAAUGUAUGUCUUUAGUUAGGUUAAGUUAGCUUGGUAAAUAAACUGAAGACACGCUCAGUUGUGUCAUUAUGUUGAGUUAGCUAGGCUAACUUUAAUGGAGGUCAACCAGAGUCCUGCAGUCUUCCCUGUCUGUUUUAUUCAUGUUGACUUCAAGUCUUCAGUGUUUUUCCAUUCUUAGGCAUGAGGCUUAGGCUCAUGGUGCUGAGGCUUAGUCAUACAAAGCACACCCAUGUGCACACAGUUGUGUAAACACACACAUGUCAUGCACACAUACAAACACACACGCACAGACACAACACACACACACACACGCGCGCGCACACACACACACACACACACACACACACACACACACACACACACAGGCAAGGAUUUUAUUUAGGUAAUUGUACUUUACUGAUGCUUUCUGCACACACAACUCCAAAGUUAGUCUACACUUUACAUAACUCUGCAGAAACUCUGUCCUCAUUUUUUCUCCAUUUGGUAUGACCUGAAAAACACACACACAGAAAAACAAAAAAAACACGCACAUAGACAAACAGGUACACCCAGGAACGCCCACAUUUACACACGUGCAAAGCAGAAAGGCAAAGCAAACAGCAAAGGAUUAAUAAGUCAUGCAGUGACGUUCCACAGAACUAGGAAAAAUGAUUAACACUUGACGCCUCGCUGUUUAAUCCAUUAUUGCAUUGCGCAACACAAGUGCUGAAUCCGGCCCGGCUGAGGCGUUCAGCACCACGCAUACCCAGUCAGCAUUCUGUCACCCGUGCACACAUAUAUUUGAAUUGAUCCUUUAGUGUACACACACCCGUCUAAAUGCUGCAUUUCAUCAGUACUACAAAUCUUCAGGCACAAUCAACUCGUCAGAGCUACCCGGCCCCAUCACUGGUAGCCCGAGACCCCGGCCUAACCGUCAGCUUCCUUCCAACGAUGGAUGUACUGGGAUGACUGUAUGAUUGAUUGUAUGUAUAAUAUGUUUGAUUGAAUUGUAAUGUCUAACGUUUGCGUAUCUGUAUGACGGUACCACAUUGUGCACUGCACUUUUAAUUACUCUCUUUAUGAACUUUGGGCCCCCCUCUCAAAAGCUUUCAAUAGCUUACUUGUGGGGAUCCAUUCAUGCAUGCCAAAGGAUCAUGCGGAUGUCUAACUGGUCUGAAUUGCAGAUGUUUACCAUUUUGGCAAUGUAUGAAUAUGAACUAAUCUUGAAACUUGAAACUUAGAAAGUGUGAGUAGAGGACCAUCAGGGAAGACGACCACAGCUCCUUACUUUGUGGCCCUCAGACGGCGGCAUUUUGGCAGGCGUCCUCCGGGUCCGCCUGAGAGCAAAUAGGAGCAGAGAAGGGGGGGGGGGGGAGGCGUCUUAGCGUAAAUGUUGGGAGCGGUGCAUUAGUACAAAUCACGAUACGAUAUGACACAACUUUAUUAAUCCCCCGUAGGAUAAAUUAGUUUGUUGCAACAGCCCAGCAGCAGUGGAAAAACACAGGAUAAAAAAAUACCAUACAAUACAACAAGAAUACAAAGUACUAAUGCAAACAAAAAUAGACGCUAAAGGUAAAUGCUAAACGAAAUGCUAAAGUAAGGAGAAGAGUGUAUAAACAAUAUAAAUGAUCAAUUCUAAAAAGUGCAAAGUGUGAACCACGGUAGGACUGAGGAGAGAGGGAGCUCCGGUAGGACUGAGGAGAGAAGGAGCUCCGAGCACUCACAGCCCAGCACCAGGAGGCCGAGGAGGAAGAGCACCGCCGCCACCACCAGCCCGGCCUUCCGCAGAGUAAAGUAAUCUGCACACAAAGAACAACACCACGUCGCAGAGCCGCCACGGCAGGGUCCUGUUGUUGCUUCAUAAAAACCCCAUCCAAACGAUAUCACCUACCAUACGUGAAUCGUUUAUCCAGCUCGUCGAAAUCUAUAGAGAGACAAGGGAGAGAAAGUCUGAGCUGUCUGCAGUUGGCGUAUUGUGAGUCUGCGCCGCGGGGGGGAUCCAAGUGUCUGUACACGGUCGUCUGUUGUUUGCACAGAGUGUGUUGGCAGGGGGAGAGCAGGUGGGUCCCAGCCGCCCUGGUGGGCUUCUGAUCCUGUCAGGCUUGAUACGCCCAUCCAUUAAAGGUAAGGUGUCGUAGAUACUCCGAUUAAUGGCAAGUUAAAGGGUAAAAGAUACGCCAUCAGAGUAGAGGUAAAGUAAGGUGGAAUAGAAGUUAAAUUAUUGAUACUCUGUCAGAUUAAAGGUAAAUUAAUGUGAUUAGUACUCGGUCAUUUGAAGGAAAGGUAAAGUGUCAUAGGUACUCUGUCAGAUUAAAAGUAAAGAAAGAAUACUCGGUCAGAUUAAAGGUAAAGGAAAGGUGAAUAUGCACUCUGUCAGAUUAGUGGUAAAGUAAAGUGGAAUAGGAACUCUUAUCAGAUUAAAGGUAAGUAAAGUGGAAUAGGAACUCUAUCAGAUUAAAGGAAAAGUAAAGUGGAUUAGGUACUUUAUCAGAUUAAAGGUAAAGAAAGGUUUAAAAAGUACUUUAUCAGAUUAGAGUUAAAGUAAGGUGGAAUAGUUACCUUUGUUGGUGAAAAAUUCUUUUUGUUUCCAGGGUGUUUGGGGUUUCAUAGUUGGGGAAGAGUUUGUCUCUAUGGAUGAAAUACAAUCAAUUAAAUCACAAUCCAUUUCCCUUAAUGAUCAUCGUUAUCUUCUACUGUCCAAGCAACAUGUUCAACUGGUUAUUUUAAUUUAAUUUAAUUUAUGAUGUACUAUUGUAUGAUGAAACUUCUGAAGCGGCAAACUUUCCCUCUCUGACUUUCUGUUUCUGAACACACCCUUCACUGUUCUAUAAUUCAACAGAAUAAUGAAGAGUGAACAGUUUUUCUAAUUACCUGAUAACAAUAGAUAAAAGACUCAUAUUCCAGGUAGCCUUUUUCAGCCACACAUGGAAGAGAAACAUCACACAAAUCCUUUUCGUAGGAAUUAUCCACCGCUACAGUAACACA